rnacentral:rRNA from 1 species
CAGGGAAUCUUGCGCAAUGGCCGGGAGUCCGACGCAGCGACGCCGCGUGGGUGAAGACGGCCUUCGGGUUGUAAAGCCCUUUUCUGGGGGAAGAGAGAGGACGGUACUCCAGGAAUAAGUGUCGGCUAACUACGUGCCAGCAGCCGCGGUAAUACGUAGGACACGAGCGUUAUCCGGAUUUACUGGGCGUAAAGCGCCUGUAGGCGGUUCUUCAAGUCGUUUGUGAAAGCCCUGGGCUCAACCUGGGGAGGUCAAGCGAUACUGGAGGACUUGAGGGUGACAGAGGGGAGUGGAAUUUCCGGUGUAGCGGUAAAAUGCGCAGAUAUCGGGAGGAACACCAGUGGCGAAGGCGGCUCCCUGGGUCACCCCUGACGCUGAGAGGGGAAAGCUAGGGGAGCAAACAG